UGGCUGCAGCCCGCCUCUCUCAGUACCCUGCGCCGCUCUUCUCAGUACCCAUCCCGCAGACAGGAAAUGACGCAACACCGCAGCUCUCAGUCCCCUCAGACCGGAAAUGUCGUCAACCCUUGCGACGAAAACAAGUUACGUUAUUUCACCUCUCGCGAAAAAAACACGUUUGAAUGUUGUCACAUGAUCCAAAUAGGACAAGCUGCAAGAUCACCACCCCAUUGGGAAGAAACUAAAUCACGACCCCCAAAUGGUAGUCUUCCCAUGCAGAUACAGGGAUGUCACACAGAUCCAAAUGGAAACAUCGAACACUGUAAAACCCACUGUGCAGACAGGACCAAUGGUGACAAUAUAAGACCAUGCCGAGCUUCAUGGACGCUUCAAACUCAUCCUGCCCAGGAACGGCUGAAAACGUUGACAGUCAAUCAACAGGGGGACAUGGAAAGAGAGGAUUGGAAGUGAAAUAGAGGGUUUUUCGGGACAGCCAUAGGGGAAGGACUGUGGCAUCUUCAUGUUGGUAGACUGAUAUGCCAACUCUGAGGAAGUGGCGGUGUAUAUUGCUAGUGGACAAUUUCAAACUUGGGUGCAUGGUGAGCCACAGGAAAGAGUUUGCCCAUUGGACAGAUAAGGCAAAAGCAUUACUGCAGGGUGAAGUGCCACCAGUCUAUCAGCUACAGAAGUGAAAUUUGAAUAUAAUUGCUGAGGAAGAGGUGCAACCACAGCUCCUUCAAGUUAGUGGUGGCCCACUCCAAAAAGAUAUGGCGGGAAAAAAUGUUUUGGUAAAAGGAUUGUGCAAGACAGCACAAAAGCCUCGGACAGGGCGGCGGGGCG